rnacentral:rRNA from 1 species
CCUACGGGUGGCUGCAGUAAGGAAUAUUGGUCAAUGGACGAAAGUCUGAACCAGCCAUGCCGCGUGGAGGAUGAAGGUCCUCUGGAUUGUAAACUUCUUUUAUAUGGGACGAAAAAGGCCUUUCCAGGUCGUCUGACGGUACCAUAUGAAUAAGCACCGGCUAACUCCGUGCCAGCAGCCGCGGUAAUACGGAGGGUGCAAGGAUUAUCCGGAUUCACUGGGUUUGUAGGGUGCGUAGGUGGUUUGGUGUGAAAUCCCCGAGCUUAACUUGGGAACUGCCAUUGAUACUAGCAGUCUUGAGUACCGUGGAGGUCAGCGGAAUAUGUCAUGUAGCGGUGAAAUGCUUAGAUAUGACAUAGAACACCAAUUGCGAAGGCAGCUGGCUACACGAGUAUUGACACUGAGGCACGAAAGCGUGGGGAUCAAACAGGAUUAGAUACCCCAGUAGUC